rnacentral:rRNA from 1 species
AGAGUUUGAUCAUGGCUCAGGACGAACGCUGGCGGUAUGCUUAAGACAUGCAAGUCGCACGGUCCCGCAAGGGACAGUGGCGGACGGGUGAGUAACACGUGGAUAACCUGCCCGAUUCCCCGGGAUAACAGGCCGAAAGGCCUGCUAAUACCGGGUAAGCUCACGCUGCCGCAUGGCAGUGGGAGAAAAGCUCCUGCAAGGGAGUGGGAUCGGAGGGGUCCGCGGUCCAUUAGCUAGUUGGGGGGGUAACGGCCCACCAAGGCGACGAUGGAUAGCCGGCCUGAGAGGGCGACCGGCCACACUGGGACUGAGACACGGCCCAGACUCCUACGGGAGGCAGCAGUCGGGAAUUUUGGGCAAUGGCCGCAAGGGCUGACCCAGCAAUACCGCGUGAGUGAAGAAGGCCUUCGGGUUGUAAAGCUCUGUUGCCCGUGAAGAACGGUGCUCACAGGAAAUGGUGGGUACUUGACGGUAGCGGGAGAGGAAGCUCCGGCUAACUACGUGCCAGCAGCCGCGGUAAUACGUAGGGAGCGAGCGUUGUCCGGAUUUAUUGGGCGUAAAGGGCGUGUAGGCGGCUUGUUAAGUCUGAGGUGAAAAUCCAGGGCUCAACCCUGGAACUGCCUCGGAUACUGGCGAGCUUGAGUGCUCUAGAGGGCAGUGGAAUUCCCGGUGUAGCAGUGAAAUGCGUAGAGAUCGGGAGGAACACCAGUGGCGAAGGCGACUGCCUGGGGAGUAACUGACGCUGAGGCGCGAAAGCUGGGGGAGCAAACGGGAUUAGAUACCCCGGUAGUCCCAGCCGU